ACUGGAAUUACUUAGUUGUAUGGUAAGUUUACUUUUUAAGAAACUGCCAAACUAUUUUCCAGAGUGGAUGUACCAUUUUGCAUCCCCAUGAGCAAU
rnacentral:pre_miRNA from 1 species